rnacentral:rRNA from 1 species
CCUACGGGCGGCAGCAGUCGAGAAUUAUUCACAAUGGUGGAAACCCUGAUGGUGCGACGCCGCGUGGGGGAAUGAAGGUCUUCGGAUUGUAAACCCCUGUCAUGUGGGAGCAAAUUAAAAAGAUAGUACCACAAGAGGAAGAGACGGCUAACUCUGUGCCAGCAGCCGCGGUAAUACAGAGGUCUCAAGCGUUGUUCGGAAUCACUGGGCGUAAAGCGUGCGUAGGCUGUUUCGUAAGUCGUGUGUGAAAGGCGCGGGCUCAACCCGCGGACGGCACAUGAUACUGCGAGACUAGAGUAAUGGAGGGGGAACCGGAAUGCUCGGUGUAGCAGUGAAAUGCGGAGAUAUCGAGAGGAACACUCGUGGCGAAGGCGGGUUCCUGGACAUUAACUGACGCUGAGGCACGAAGGCCAGGGGAGCGAAAGGGAUUAGAUACCCGGGUAGUC